UACGGAGGGUGCAAACGUUAAUCGGAAUUACUGGGCGUAAAGCGCGCGUAGGCGGUUUGGUAAGUGGGAUGUGAAAGCCCCGGGCUUAACCUGGGAACUGCGUUUGAAACUACAAGGCUAGAGUGUAGCAGAGGGGGGUGGAAUUCCACGUGUAGCAGUGAAAUGCGUAGAGAUGUGGAGGAACACCGAUGGCGAAGGCAGCCCCCUGGGUUAACACUGACGCUCAGGCACGAAAGCGUGGGGAGCAAACAGG
rnacentral:rRNA from 1 species